AUUUAUUGGGCGUAAAGGGCUCGUAGGCGGUUCGGCAAGUCGGGUGUGAAACCUCCAGGCUCAACCUGGAGUCGCCACUCGAAACUGCUGUGACUAGAGUCCGGUAGGGGAGCAUGGAAUUCCUGGUGUAGCGGUGGAAUGCGCAGAUAUCAGGAGGAACACCAGUGGCGAAGGCGAUGCUCUGGGCCGGAACUGACGCUGAGGAGCGAGAGCAUGGGGAGCGAACAGGAUUAGAUACCCUGGUAGUCCAUGCCGUAAACGUUGGGCACUAGGUGUGGGACCCUCUCAACGGGUUCCGCGCCGUAGCUAACGCAUUAAGUGCCCCGCCUGGGGAGUACGGCCGCAAGGCUAAAACUCAAAGGAAUUGACGGGGGCCCGCACAAGCAGCGGAGCAUGUUGCUUAAUUCGAGGCAACGCGAAGAACCUUACCUGGGUUUGACAUGUACGGAAAAGCCGCAGAGAUGCGGUGUCCUUUUGGGCCGUACACAGGUGGUGCAUGGUUGUCGUCAGCUCGUGUCGUGAGAUGUUGGGUUAAGUCCCGCAACGAGCGCAACCCUUGUCCUAUGUUGCCAGCGGGUAGUGCCGGGGACUCGUAGGAGACUGCCGGUGACAAACCGNGAGGAAGGUGGGGAUGACGUCAAAUCAUCAUGCCCCUUAUGUCCAGGGCUGCAAACAUGCUACAAUGGCUAGUACAAAGGGCUGCUACACCGCGAGGUUGAGCGAAUCCCACAAAGCUGGUCUCAGUUCGGAUCGGAGUCUGCAACUCGACUCCGUGAAGCUAGAGUUGCUAGUAAUCCCGGAUCAGCAACGCCGGGGUGAUACGUUCCCGGG
rnacentral:rRNA from 1 species